UAGCAUAUCAAUAAGCGGAGGAAAAGAAACUAACAAGGAUUCCCAUAGUAACUGCGAGUGAAGCGGGAAAAGCUCAAAUUUAAAAUCUGGCAGUCUUUGGCUGUCCGAGUUGUAAUCUGGAGAAGUGCUUUCCGCGCUGGACCGUGUACAAGUCUCUUGGAAUAGAGCGUCAUAGAGGGUGAGAAUCCCGUCUUUGACACGGACUACCAGUGCUUUGUGAUGCGCUUUCAAAGAGUCGAGUUGUUUGGGAAUGCAGCUCAAAAUGGGUGGUAAAUUCCAUCUAAAGCUAAAUAUUGGCGAGAGACCGAUAGCGAACAAGUACCGUGAGGGAAAGAUGAAAAGCACUUUGGAAAGAGAGUUAAACAGUACGUGAAAUUGCUGAAAGGGAAACGCUUGAAGUCAGUCGCGUUGUUCAGAACUCAGCCUGGCUUUGGCUUGGUGCAUUUUCUGAAUAACGGGCCAGCAUCAAUUUUGACUGUUGGAUAAAGGCCAGGGAAAUGUGGCUCCCUUGGGAGUGUUAUAGUCCUUGGUUGCAUACAAUGGUUGGGAUUGAGGAACUCAGCAUGCCUUUAUGGUCGGGGUUCGCCCACGUUCAUGCUUAGGAUGCUGGCGUAAUGGCUUUAAACGACCCGUCUUGAAACACGGACCAAGGAGUCUAACAUGUCUGCGAGUGUUUGGGUGGAAAACCCGAGCGCGCAAUGAAAGUGAAAGUUGGGAUCUCUGUCGUGGAGAGCACCAAUGCCCGGACCAGACCUUCUGUGACGGUUCCGCGGUAGAGCAUGUAUGUUGGGACCCGAAAGAUGGUGAACUAUGCCUGAAUAGGGUGAAGCCAGAGGAAACUCUGGUGGAGGCUCGUAGCGAUUCUGACGUGCAAAUCGAUCGUCAAAUUUGGGUAUAGGGGCGAAAGACUAAUCGAACCAUCUAGUAGCUGGUUCCUGCGAUCUCCUCUCCCCGGGAGUAAAAA
rnacentral:rRNA from 1 species